AGAUAUGUUUGGGUUACUUGGUG
rnacentral:miRNA from 3 species